ensembl:antisense Far1os fatty acyl CoA reductase 1, opposite strand
AGACUCUCCACAGAAGUCUCUGUGGAUACCGGCAGGUGGAAGAAAAUCAAGGCAGCAGAAAGAGGAUCUGAGUCCUCUCCAGAACACCCACUUUCCUUACAUCUAAGAGGAUUUGUGAUCUGCUUGCAACUAAAAAAAAUAAAUAAAAAAAGAGCAUUUUAAGGGAAAAAUGAUACAUGUUCCUCAAAUUUAGUGAGUAAAUCAGAAGAAAACAGGAUAAUUAUCAAAACAACAAAGGAGAGGCUAUCACUUACUGGGUAUCAGUAAUAUUACCUCUUUCUAUGCUCGUUAGCUCUGCCAUGGUAAAACACAUUCAUCAUGUUAGCACCUGCUCUUAAAUUAAGCCGCACAGUGGAAUAUGACAUUUGUAGAAUCUAUAAUGAUCUCCUUAUCUUCUUCACUGAGAGCCAGUUUAGGUUGGAGUCUUCUAACUUACAUGUGUUCUGAAGGUGUGGCCCAUCUUCCCUAGACAAACGUGGCAACCACUCCUCAAAAAGGCUUCUCUUUACAGCAAAUGGAGAGCAUCACAGAAAACAACUGUACAUAAGACAGAAAUCAAUCGUGCGGAGCCCAGCCCCAACAUAUAUAUCUACAUCUUUAUCACAGCUCCUCCAUCAGGGAAUAUCACUUAAGGGGAAUGGAAAGAUUUAAAAAGCCAGAAGAUCAGGAAGUCAGCCAUAAAACAGUCUCUCCUGGAAAUGGCUACAUAAACAAGAUUGAAACACAAUGGGCAAGUUAACGUGGGACAGGGAAAUCUAGCAACAUCUCACCCCUAGACAAAGAACUACAGGGAACUCCUAAACGCUGGAAGAAGGAGAAUUAUCCUCUCCCUUACUGGUUGUCCAAUGCAGACUGGUCAGCCUUGAAGCCAUAUACAUAAAAGCAGUAAAAGUGG